GUAGCUGGUUUUAGCUGGUCUCCCAGCCUGACCAAGCUGGUGUCCAUUUGACCUAAUUACAAAUUAAUCAGUUUGUUUCACUUACUGACAAGAUUCAAUUCAAGGUAAGUUUAGUAUCAUAAUCAGGUAGGCUAGAUGAUACCUCUUAAAUUAUUCUAGUUGUUAAUGAUAAUAUAAUUUUAAUAUAAUUAAAAAAGACACGUGUUGAAAAACGUGACAAAUUUUUGAACUUUUAUAAGGAAACAGCCAAGCGAACAAAACUAAAUUAAUGUUAUAAUAAAUCAAUGAAAUGUGCAAUGUGAAAUGUGAAAUGUAUUUUUAUUUUGUUUAUUUAUUUAUUUAUUUUUUUUUACAUGAUUCCCAAUUAUUUAUAUUCACAAUUUCUAAUAUUUGUAGAGGCUUUACAUUUUUUUAUUUCAAAUGUAAUAAUUAGCAAUUCAUUACAUUUUAUCUUUGAAACAAAUCUGUUACAUGACUGCAUUAAUUUAAGUUUCUUAAGGGUCAAGAUCUCACUUUAUCUGCAUCUCAUGUGCUCCAUAAAGGUUUUAGUUGGUCUCCAUUUGACCUAAUUACAAAUUAAUCAGUUUGUUUCACUUACUGACAAGGUUCAAUUCAAGGUAAGUUUAGUAUCAUAAUCAGGUAGGUUAGAUGAUACAUCUUAAAUUAUUCUAGUUGUUAAUGAUAAUAUAUCUGAGAAGAGUCUUAAAUAAAUUGUAGUAUAAAGUAUAGCAUAAAAUAAAGCUAGCACUCAAAAAAUAAGCAUAGAACUCAAAUCAGAUUAAAUUAUUGUCUGAAGAAAUACAUUCACCAUAGUUGUAUGACCAAAUAUAGUCAGCUGUUUUAUUUUUAAGGAGUGUUUUGGUAUUAGAUUUUUACACAAAAUAUAAAUUAAACAAACACAGUCUUUAUAUUAUAGAUAACAAUCACCUGCAAUUAAAAAACACUAGGAGAAAAAAAAAAACGAUAUCUUUAACAAGAAGUGCUUAAAGCAUAAUCUGAUCACGUGGAUCACGUGGUGGUUUGACACAAACGUACAGCAUAUUGCUGUAAAUUUUAAAUUUACAGAGGCGGGAUUUUCUUCAACGGUCGACAUUCGGGAGCAGCAAUAAGUACGAUUCACAACUGCGCAUACGGUAUAUUCACUCCAGAGUAACCUUACCAGGAGUACACAGAUGGUGAUGUGGAGUUAAUUCAAAGAUAUUGCAGAGGAGCUAAGAAGUCGAAAGGAAAAGUGCCAUCUAAAACAACAGGGCAAAUGGUACAGAAGAAACCGGUUGAAGUGAACUCAAGUUGCCACUCUUCUUUGCAAAGUGAAGGAUUGUCAGCAGAAUUUCUGAAAUUGACUGGCGGAAACAAAGGGAGCCUGAAAGAAGAGAGAGAGAAGAGGGAGAAACAAGUGGGGCAUUACAUAUCCCAAAAAAAUACAAGAUAUAAUAAAAAGAAAAGAAAAAUGAAAAUGCAUAAUAUGUUUAGAAUUCUACUAUUGUUCAUCUUCACCAUUAAUCCUUAAAAUAGUUUUAGAAUUGUAAUCAUUCCAAUUAUUUUGUAAAUAUUUUGUAAAUAUUUGUUAUUAAAGGGGCUGUAAGAUCAAAUAAAAAUUGUUUUAAUGGUUCCUUGUGGUCCUGCAGAUUAUUAAAAGUAAACAUAUUACUUAUUUGUUUCAUUAUUUGUCAGGAAAAUUGGGGCAGACACUACGUAAUCAAUCCAUCAUCAGAAAUUUUGACUAGCUAAGACCAGCCUGACCAGCUUAAACCAGCUAAGACCAGCCUGGCUGACCAGCUAA